rnacentral:rRNA from 1 species
GAUGAACGCUGGCGGCGUGCCUAAUACAUGCAAGUCGAGCGAACGGACGAGAAGCUUGCUUCUCUGAUGUUAGCGGCGGACGGGUGAGUAACACGUGGAUAACCUACCUAUAAGACUGGGAUAACUUCGGGAAACCGGAGCUAAUACCGGAUAAUAUUUUGAACCGCAUGGUUCAAAAGUGAAAGACGGUCUUGCUGUCACUUAUAGAUGGAUCCGCGCUGCAUUAGCUAGUUGGUAAGGUAACGGCUUACCAAGGCAACGAUGCAUAGCCGACCUGAGAGGGUGAUCGGCCACACUGGAACUGAGACACGGUCCAGACUCCUACGGGAGGCAGCAGUAGGGAAUCUUCCGCAAUGGGCGAAAGCCUGACGGAGCAACGCCGCGUGAGUGAUGAAGGUCUUCGGAUCGUAAAACUCUGUUAUUAGGGAAGAACAUAUGUGUAAGUAACUGUGCACAUCUUGACGGUACCUAAUCAGAAAGCCACGGCUAACUACGUGCCAGCAGCCGCGGUAAUACGUAGGUGGCAAGCGUUAUCCGGAAUUAUUGGGCGUAAAGCGCGCGUAGGCGGUUUUUUAAGUCUGAUGUGAAAGCCCACGGCUCAACCGUGGAGGGUCAUUGGAAACUGGAAAACUUGAGUGCAGAAGAGGAAAGUGGAAUUCCAUGUGUAGCGGUGAGAUGCGCAGAGAUAUGGAGGAACACCAGUGGCGAAGGCGACUUUCUGGUCUGUAACUGACGCUGAUGUGCGAAAGCGUGGGGAUCAAACAGGAUUAGAUACCCUGGUAGUCCACGCCGUAAACGAUGAGUGCUAAGUGUUAGGGGGUUUCCGCCCCUUAGUGCUGCAGCUAACGCAUUAAGCACUCCGCCUGGGGAGUACGACCGCAAGGUUGAAACUCAAAGGAAUUGACGGGGACCCGCACAAGCGGUGGAGCAUGUGGUUUAAUUCGAAGCAACGCGAAGAACCUUACCAAAUCUUGACAUCCUUUGACAACUCUAGAGAUAGAGCCUUCCCCUUCGGGGGGGGCAAAGUGACAGGUGGUGCAUGGUUGUCGUCAGCUCGUGUCGUGAGAUGUUGGGUUAAGUCCCGCAACGAGCGCAACCCUUAAGCUUAGUUGCCAUCAUUAAGUUGGGCACUCUAAGUUGACUGCCGGUGACAAACCGGAGGAAGGUGGGGAUGACGUCAAAUCAUCAUGCCCCUUAUGAUUUGGGCUACACACGUGCUACAAUGGACAAUACAAAGGGCAGCGAAACCGCGAGGUCAAGCAAAUCCCAUAAAGUUGUUCUCAGUUCGGAUUGUAGUCUGCAACUCGACUACAUGAAGCUGGAAUCGCUAGUAAUCGUAGAUCAGCAUGCUACGGUGAAUACGUUCCCGGGUCU